UACGUAGGGGGCUAGCGUUGUCCGGAUUUAUUGGGCGUAAAGAGCGUGUAGGCGGUUCGGUAGGUCCGUUGUGAAAACUCGAGGCUCAACCUCGAGACGCCGAUGGAAACCCCCGAACUAGAGUCCGGAAGAGGAGAGUGGAAUUCCUGGUGUAGCGGUGAAAUGCGCAGAUAUCAGGAAGAACACCCGUGGCUAAGGCGGCUCUCUAGUACGGUACUGACGCUGAGACGCGAAAGCGUGGGGAGCGAACAGG
rnacentral:rRNA from 1 species